GGAUUCCAGGGUGUCAGACAUACCUAUUGCUUCAGGUAGUGAGUUCCAGUCCGAAAUAGUGCGAGGAUAGAAUGAAAAUUUAUAGAAAUCUUUAUUUGUUGAUAUUUGCCUAAAUUUAUGUUUCCCCCUAGUACGUCUAUCAGAUAUUGUUAAAUUGUCCUUAGGAACUUCAACUAACCCCCAAUUUAUUUUAUACAGCAUAGUUAAUCUAGCUUUUUUCCUUCUUAUUUCUAAAUUUUCCCAUUCCAAAGAUUUAAUUAAAUUUGAAACUGCUCCAGGUGAUCUGUCUUUAUAAUCAUUGAAGACAAACCUGGCUGCCUUACGCUGUACCUGCUCAACCUGAGUGAUGUGUUGUUUUUUGUACGGAUCCCAGACAGGGGAAGAGUAUUCGACGACUGGACGGACAAGUGAUGUGUACGUAAGGUUUUUAACCUUACGUGUGCAGUUUUUCCCUACGAAGAAAACCUAAGGUUUUAUUUGCCUUACAAGUAAUAUUGUUUAUAUGUGUUCCCCAAUCAAGAUCAUGGCUUAUAGUUACGCCUAAAUAUUUACUGUCUUUUACUGCUUCUAAAACAUGAUUGUGCAAUAUAUAAUCAAAAGAGGAAGGUUUACUUUUUUUUAGAAAUAUGAAUUACAUAACACUUCUCAGGAUUAAAAUUCAUUUGCCAGUCCUCUUCCCAUUUUACUAAACUAGAUAAAUCUUUUUGAAGUAAUUGUGCAUCAGAACUAUUAUUUACAUUUCUAUACAAUAAACAGUCAUCUGCAAAAAGUCUUGCAUUGCAAGUUACAUGUUCGGGUAGGUCAUUAAUAAAGAGUAAAAAUAAUGUUGGGCCUAAAACUGUUCCCUGAGGCACACCAGAGUCAACAGCUAAUUUUGAAGAUUUAACACCAUUUAAUAGUACUUGCUGUUGCCUGUCAGCUAAAAAGUCAUUUAUCCAAUUUAAAUUUUGAUUUCUAAUACCAUAAAAUUCUAAUUUCUGGGCUAAUCUUUGAUGGGG
rnacentral:lncRNA from 1 species